rnacentral:rRNA from 1 species
GACGAACGCUGGCGGCGUGCUUAACACAUGCAAGUCGUGCGGAAAGGCCCCUUUGGGGGUGCUCGAGCGGCGAACGGGUGAGUAACACGUGAGUAAUCUGCCCUGCACUUUGGGAUAACUGCCGGAAACGGUGGCUAAUACUGGAUAGGACUGCAUCCUGCAUGGGGUGUGGUGGAAAGCCUUUGGGUGGUGUGGGAUGUGCUCGCGGCCUAUCAGCUUGAUGGUGGGGUAGUGGCCUACCAUGGCUUUGACGGGUAGCCGGCCUGAGAGGGUGACCGGUCACACUGGGACUGAGACACGGCCCAGGCUCCUGCGGGAGGCAGCAGUGGGGAAUAUUGGACAAUGGGCGGAAGCCUGAUCCAGCAACGCCGCGUGAGGGA